rnacentral:rRNA from 1 species
UUAUGGCUCAGGAUGAACGCUGGCGGCGUGCUUAACACAUGCAAGUCGAACGGGAAUUACAUUUAGCUUGCUAAGUUGUAAUCUAGUGGCGGACGGGUGAGUAACGCGUGGGUAACCUGCCUUAUACCGGGGGACAACAGUUGGAAACGGCUGCUAAUACCGCAUAAGCGCACAGUUUCGCAUGAGACAGUGUGAAAAAACUCCGGUGGUAUAAGAUGGACCCGCGUCUGAUUAGCCAGUUGGCGGUGUAACGGACCACCAAAGCGACGAUCAGUAGCCGGCCUGAGAGGGUGAACGGCCACAUUGGGACUGAGACACGGCCCAAACUCCUACGGGAGGCAGCAGUGGGGAAUAUUGCACAAUGGAGGAAACUCUGAUGCCAGCGACGCCGCGUGAGUGAAGAAGUAUUUCGGUAUGUAAAGCUCUAUCAGCAGGAAAGAAAAUGACGGUACCUGACUAAGAAGCCCCGGCUAACUACGUGCCAGCAGCGGC